AGCACGCAUGACGGGUGUUCGAGGUCUGGCGUUUUGGUCUUCCAAAGCGCUAGUCUCGUUCUGAGAAAUUACCGUUAAAACUUGAUCUGGACAAUACCAGCGAAAGGACAUGCAUGCUUUAUUGC
rnacentral:ncRNA from 1 species